GGGGGGGGGGGGCGGGGGGCCUGGGACGGGCAGGUCGAGCGAACAGACGAGGAGCUUGCUCCUCGGACGUUAGCGGCGGGCGGGUGAGUACCACGUGGAUAACCUACCUAUAAGACUGGGAUCACUUCGGGAACCCGGAGCUAAUACCGUAUAACAUGUUGAACCGCAUGGUUUAACAGUGAAAGCCGUUCUUUCUGUCCCUUAUAACUGGAUCCGCGCCGCAUUAGCUAGUUGGUAAGGUAACGGCUCACCAAGGCAACGAUGCGUAGCCGACCUGAGAGGGUGAUCGGCCACACUGGAACUGAGACACGGUCCAGACUCCUACGGGAGGCAGCAGUAGGGAAUCUUUCGCAAAGGGCGAAAGCCUGACGGAGCAACGCCGCGUGAGUGAAGAAGGUCUUCGGAUCGUAAAACUCUGUUAUUAGGGAAGAACAAAUGUGUAAGUAACUAUGCACGUCUUGACGGUACCUAAUCAGAAAGCCACGGCUAACUACGUG
rnacentral:rRNA from 1 species